rnacentral:rRNA from 1 species
GCGUUGUCCGGAAUUAUUGGGCGUAAAGGGAGCGCAGGCGGUUGGAAUAGUCUGAUGUGAAAGCCCACGGCUUAACCGUGGAAUUGCAUUGGAAACUGUCCAACUUGAAUGCAGAAGAGGAAAGCGGAAUUCCAUGUGUAGCGGUGAAAUGCGUAGAUAUAUGGAGGAACACCAGUGGCGAAGGCGGCUUUCUGGUCUGUGAUUGACGCUGAGGCUCGAAAGCGUG